rnacentral:rRNA from 1 species
UGGGUACACGAGUGGCGCACGGGUGCGUAACGCGUAUGCAACCUACCUUCAACAGAGGGAUAGCCCCGAGAAAUUGGGAUUAAUACCUCAUAACAUCAUUAUUUCGCAUGGGAUAAUGAUUAAAGCUCCGGCGGUUGGAGAUGGGCAUGCGUAACAUUAGCUUGUUGGUGAGGUAACGGCUCACCAAGGCGACGAUGUUUAGGGGUUCUGAGAGGAUUAUCCCCCACACUGGUACUGAGACACGGACCAGACUCCUACGGGAGGCAGCAGUGAGGAAUAUUGGGCAAUGGACGCAAGUCUGACCCAGCCAUGCCGCGUGCAGGAAUGACGGCCCUACGGGUUGUAAACUGCUUUUAUACGGGAAGAAACCCUACGACUUGUUGUAGGCUGACGGUACCGUAAGAAUAAGCAUCGGCUAACUCCGUGCCAGCAGCCGCGGUAAUACGGAGGAUGCAAGCGUUAUCCGGAUUUAUUGGGUUUAAAGGGUGCGCAGGCGGGCUUGUAAGUCAGUGGUGAAAUCCCUCGGCUCAACCGAGGAACUGCCAUUGAUACUGCGAGUCUAGAGUACAGAUGGGGUAGGCGGAAUGUAGCAUGUAGCGGUGAAAUGCAUAGAUAUGCUACAGAACACCGAUCGCGAAGGCAGCUUACCAAACUGUUACUGACGCUCAGGCACGAAAGCGUGGGGAGCGAACAGGAUUAGAUACCCUGGUAGUCCACGCCGUAAACGAUGAUUACUAGCUGUUGGCGAUAGACAGUCAGUGGCUAANCGAAAGUGAUAAGUAAUCCCCUGGGGAGUACGAUCGCAGGUUGAAACUCAAAGGAAUUGACGGGGC